rnacentral:rRNA from 1 species
AUUGAACGCUGGCGGCAGGCCUAAAACUUGCAAGUCGAGAGGAGCGGGAGACGGGUGAGUAAUGCCUAGGAAUCUGCCUGGUAUUGGGGGCUAACGUGCGGAGACGGGCGCUAAUAACGCAUACUUUCAGAUGAGUUUAGGUCGGAUUAGCUAGUUGGUGGGGUAAAGGCCUACCAAGGCGACGAUCCGUAACUGGUCUGAGAGGAUGAUCAUUCACACUGGAACUGAGACACGGUCCAGACUCCUACGGGAGGCAGCAGUGGGGAAUAUUGGACAAUGGGCGAAAGCCUGAUCCAGCCAUGCCGCGUGUGUGAAGAAGGUCUUCGGAUUGUAAAGCACUUUAAGUUGGGAGGCGUUACCAACAGAAUAAGCACCGGCUAACUCCGUGCCAGCCGCCGCGGUAAUUC